GCCAUAUCACGUUGAAACACCGUUCUCUUAUAAUCACUGAAGUUAAGCAAUGUUGAGCCAGGUCAGUAGAUGGGUAACCGCUUGGAAAUACCAGGUGCUGUAAG